rnacentral:miRNA from 1 species
AUGCCCGGUUGGGUUUGAACUCGAGAGGCAGCGAACGAUGUUUAGCAUAAGUUUAUCCCAGCCUUUGCCCGGGACAUACUUAUGCUAAAAA